AAGUCGUAACAAGGUUUCCGUAGGUGAACCUGCGGAAGGAUCAUUACCGAGAGAGGGCCCCGCGCCCCGGGGGCUCCGGCCCCCACUCUUCACCCUGUGUUUAUACGUCCAUGUUGCUUUGGCGGGUCUUGGGGUCAUGCCCAUGCCGGCUCCGGGCGUCUGCCCGCGCCGGUGCGUGCCCGCCGGAGGCCCUUUACCAUUCUGUUUACGUGAAGUCCGAGUCCAUCAUAAUGAAUUAAAACUUUCAACAACGGAUCUCUUGGUUCUGGCAUCGAUGAAGAACGCAGCAAAAUGCGAUAAGUAAUGUGAAUUGCAGAAUUCAGUGAAUCAUCGAAUCUUUGAACGCACAUUGCGCCCUUCGGUAUUCCGGAGGGCAUGCCUGUCCGAGCGUCAUUGCACCCCUCAAGCUCUGCUUGGUCUUGGGUCGUCGCCCCUAAAGCGUACCCGAAAAGCAACGGCGGUCCGGUGAGACUUCGAGCGUAGUAAAUUUACACCCCGCUCGGGAAGCCUUCACAGGGACCUGCCCACUCCUCAAUUUUCAAUGAUUGACCUCGGAUCAGGUAGGGAUACCCGCUGAACUUAA
rnacentral:rRNA from 1 species